UCUCCGUUGGUGAACCAGCGGAGGGAUCAUUACCGAGUUUACAACUCCCAAACCCCAUGUGAACCUUACCAAACGUUGCUUCGGCGGUAUGCCCCGGGCGCGGGCCGCAAGGCCUCAGCCACGGAACCAGGAGCCCGCCGGAGGCCCAAACCAAACUCUUGUUUUUGUAGAAUCUUCUGAGUGGCCUUUUAGGCAAAAAAUGAAUCAAAACUUUCAACAACGGAUCUCUUGGUUCUG
rnacentral:misc_RNA from 1 species